UCACCCGUCUACUCCGGAGGAGAUAUAAGUAUUUGUACCGCGUAGUACGGAGGUUCGAAUCCUACGCGAGGCGU
rnacentral:tRNA from 2 species